AGUGAACGCUGGCGGUAGGCCUAACACAUGCAAGUCGAACGGCAGCACAGGAGAGCUUGCUCUCUGGGUGGCGAGUGGCGGACGGGUGAGGAAUACAUCGGAAUCUACUUUUUCGUGGGGGAUAACGUAGGGAAACUUACGCUAAUACCGCAUACGACCUACGGGUGAAAGCAGGGGAUCUUCGGACCUUGCGCGAUUGAAUGAGCCGAUGUCGGAUUAGCUAGUUGGCGGGGUAAAGGCCCACCAAGGCGACGAUCCGUAGCUGGUCUGGGAGGGGAGUUCGCCACACUGGACCUGAGAAACGGUCCAGACUACGACGGGAGGCAGCAGUGGGUAAUAUUGGACAAUGGGCGCAAGCCUGAUCCAGCCAUACCGCGUGGGUGAAGAAGGCCUUCGUGUUGUAAAGCCCUUUUGUUGGGAAAGAAAUCCAGCUGGCUAAUACCCGGUUGGGAUGACGGUACCCAAAGAAUAAGCACCGGCUAACUUCGUGCCAGCCGCCGCGGUAACAC
rnacentral:rRNA from 1 species